rnacentral:rRNA from 1 species
GAUGAACGCUGGCGGCGUGCCUAAUACAUGCAAGUCGAGCGAACAGACAAGGAGCUUGCUCCUCUGACGUUAGCGGCGGACGGGUGAGUAACACGUGGAUAACCUACCUAUAAGACUGGAAUAACUUCGGGAAACCGGGGCUAAUACCGGAUAAUAUGUUGAACCGCAUGGUUCUACAGUGAAAGACGGUUUUGCUGUCACUUAUAGAUGGACCCGCGCCGCAUUAGCUAGUUGGUGAGGUAACGGCUCACCAAGGCAACGAUACGUAGCCGACCUGAGAGGGUGAUCGGCCACACUGGAACUGAGACACGGUCCAGACUCCUACGGGAGGCAGCAGUAGGGAAUCUUCCGCAAUGGGCGAAAGCCUGACGGAGCAACGCCGCGUGAGUGAUGAAGGUCUUCGGAUCGUAAAACUCUGUUAUUAGGGAAGAACAAAUGCGUAAGUAACUGUGCGCGUCUUGACGGUACCUAAUCAGAAAGCCACGGCUAACUACGUG